CUUGGUCAUUUAGAGGAAGUAAAGGUCCGUAACAAGGUUCUGUAGGUGAACCUGCAGAAGGAUCAUUA
rnacentral:rRNA from 1 species